GAUGAAGAACGUAGCGAAAUGCGAUAAGUAAUGUGAAUUGCAGAAUUCAGUGAAUCAUCGAAUCUUUGAACGCACAUUGCGCCCGCCAGUAUUCUGGCGGGCAUGCCUGUUCGAGCGUCAUUUCAACCAUCAAGCCCCAGGCUUGUGUUGGGGACCUGCGGCUGCCGCAGGCCCUGAAAACCAGUGGCGGGCUCGCUGUCACACCGGGCGUAGUAGAUUUUAUCUCGCCCAGGGCGUGCUGCGGGUCCCGGCCGUUAAAAGCCUUUUUUUACCCAAGGUUGACCUCGGAUCAGGUAGGAAGACCCGCUGAACUUAAGCAUAUCAAUAAGCGGAGGA
rnacentral:misc_RNA from 1 species